GGAAAGUCAGGGCCGACGGGCGGGGUAAAACGUAGGAGGCAAGCGUUAUCCGGAUGUACGGGUCGUAGAGCGAACGCAGGCGGGGUCGUAAGUCUGACGUGAAAGCGCCGGGCUCAACUGGGAGAGGUCGUUCGAAACUGCGCGGCUUGAGGUUGGAAGAGGAGAGCUGAAUUCCCGGUGUAGUGGUGUAAUGCGUAGAUAUCGGGAGGAACACCAGUGGCGAAAGCGGCUCUCUGGUCCACACCUGACGCUCAGGUGCGAAAGCGUGGGUAGCGAACGGGAUUAGAUACCCUAGUAGUC
rnacentral:rRNA from 1 species